rnacentral:rRNA from 1 species
AUUGAACGCUGGCGGCAGGCCUAACACAUGCACGUCGGGCGGAGCGGCGGACGGGUGAGUAAUGCCUAGGAAUCUGACUGGUAGUGGAGGAUAAAGUACGGAAACGGGCGCUAAUACCGCAUACUAUCAGAUGAGCCUAGGUCGGAUUAGCUAGUGGGUGGGGUAAAGGCAGACCAAGGCGACGAUCGGUAACUGGUCUGAGAGGAUGAUCAGUCACACUGGAACUGAGACACGGUCCAGACUCCUACGGGAGGCAGCAGUGGGGAAUAUUGGACAAUGGGCGAAAGCCUGAUCCAGCCAUGCCGCGUGUGUGAAGAAGGUCUUCGGAUUGUAAAGCACUUUAAGUUGGGAGGCGUUACCAACAGAAUAAGCACCGGCUAACUUCGUGCCAGCAGCCGCGGUAAUUC